rnacentral:lncRNA from 1 species
GGCUAACCAAGGGCGUGACUCAGGAGCAGGGCAGCUCACUCCACUCAGCUCUGACUUGAUAAAUAGGACCAAGACAGGGCACCCACUUCAGCCUUCUGCCACUGACUGCCGAAAAUUUUGGCCAAAUCGUCUAAGCCUAUGCCCAACAGGAAUCGAACAGGCCUAACAAGAAGGGUUAUGUUACCUGCCCUUGCCUCUCUUUCCUUUCAGGCUGGCUCUUCUAGUAAAUCCAUCACCACGGAGAUGGGAAGGCGGAUUUUUCCUGCAGACUAGCAAGUGUAUUAUGAUGAAGCGAUAUAAGGAAAUAUUCACUGAGACAGAAAAAUGAGGAAGCGACGAAUGGUUGGUGAAAAACUUUGGAAGUCAAAUGGCGUUAGAGGAUUUCUGGCUUUGGAAAAUUGUAUGGGAAGUGGGGCAUCCCCAACUCUCCAAAGGGUUUUAAAGGUUUAAUCCAUGCCCAGAGAUAAAGUUUCUUGCAACAAUGUACAGACAUCCCAGCAGUAAAUGUUUACCAUUAGGCAAAGCAGCCUUCACUGGAAAAAUGUACUGUCACAGAUGACUUUGAUCAGCUGCAGAGACAGAGCCAGCCAAGCAGAGAAGGUGCUGGUUGAGGCAGCCUCUGCUAAGACCUGUGCUUUCCCCACUUACCUGAAGGUGGAAAUUUCCAGGGAAGAAGACACUAGAAAGAAGGUCAAAGGAAUUCAAUACAGGCAACUAGCAGGUGCUCCUAUCAUCGCCUCCUCAGUGACCUCAUCUCGUACAAUCCCAAGUACCAGGGUUCACAUUGUCUUUGAGAGCACCAAGUGAGUGGUACCCCUGGAGCUGUGCAACCCUGCAGCCUUGCUCAUGUUACAGUGGAAGAAACAUCACAUCUCCAGCACCCUCAUUUUACUGAUGGAGAAACUGACGUUUGGUAACUCACCACACAGCCAAGAUAUUGACAGAGCUGAUUAGGACCUUGACCCCUGGUUUCCAGCCUAGAGCCUGUGCAAUCUGACAUGUGCUACAUUUUGGAAGCUGUGAGUAAUUUCAGUGUCCCUACCUUUAAAGAGCUCACAACCAAUAGAGGAGGUCCUGGUAACAUAAGUACAUAAAGGCCAGCACAUCUUCACAUUCAGGUUCUGGUGAAUGGUCCCAUUAUCCUCCAUUGAACUUGAUUCUUCCUUCUUCAAGUCCCCCCUCCAAGAGGUGGCCCCCUCUUACAUCUCAGCAGAUCAUAGUAGUCGAGGACAUGCGCUCUGAAGUUACACCACGCAUGACCUUGGGCAAGAUUCUGUGUCUCAGUUUCCUCAUCCAGAAAGUGGAGAUAAUAACAGAACCUAUUCCUGAGGUUAUUAUGAGAAUUAAAUGAGUUAAUGUUUCUAAAGCAACAAAAAUAGUGCAUGGCACAUAGUAAGCACAGUAUUUACGUGUUUCAUAAAAUGCUGGAUUAUUAAACAGCCUCCUAGCUUCAUUCUCCUCCUACAACACCAAAAUACUUCUUGCUGAAACCCAAGUCUGCUGACCACCUGCCAGGCUCCACAUAAUCUAGAGCAGUAGUUCUCAAACUUCAGUUUGC